CAGCUCUAAGCAAAAAUACUGCUCUUGCUCAAUGCUCAUACAGCUCCGUAAAUGGGGAGUUUUAUUUUAUUUUAUUUUAAUGGCUCACAGAGCAGCCAUAUGUGGUCAAGAGACUUUUUCCCAGUCAUGCAAAGGCAGGUGGCUAUGUCAGGAGCCUCACUCCGAGACUCAUGCUUCAAGCAGGAGGCCACUUUUCAUCUCAGGCCCUGACAUUUUGCAGAGGAAAUCUUUUAGCAUCUCUUUUGCCUGUUGGCUGACAUACCAAGGUAUCUUGAGCAGACCUGUUAGGAAGCCCUAUCCGGAGCCUGCAUUCAUUUAAGUGCACCCUUGGGUCCCCACUGUCAAGUACCACACAUUCACAUACACACUCCCUCUUCAUCCCCUAUGGACCCUUCCUCUAUCUCCUCUAUCCCCCCUCCUUCCCUCCUCCUCC
rnacentral:lncRNA from 1 species